rnacentral:lncRNA from 1 species
CACCCCUUGCACUGGGGGGCAAAAUCUUAAUCAGAGAAGUCCUGAUUCUCCAAUGCUUGAAGCAGGAGUAGAGCACUGUGAGUUUUAGAAUUCAUUCAGCUCAGGAAAAAAAAAAAGGUUUCUAAAGCUAAGAAGUCUCUUCGCUGUAAUAUUUAGACUUUUGGCACUUAUUCAGCCCUUUCUUACAUGCACACACUGGAAAACAGGAAGCUGGAGAAAGCCUUGGAGAAGGUUGUAGAAAAAGCCGUAUAUUACAGGAAGCUCUUUUCUCUGUGCCCAGAGGAGACGCAGAAGGCACCAUGUGAACACGGUAGGGUCAGAACUGGAGUUGGUUCCUGUUCAUGGCAUUUUGCUUCUCAGCUCAAUGAGAUUAUUUCUUGUUGAGGGUUUUUACUCAGGUGGAUUCUUUACUGCUGAGCCACCGGGGAAGAUCCCAGACAGAGAUGCAGCCUUCCUCAAAAGUAUCCUCAGGACUACUGACAGAUGAUGGCUGAUGAAACAGAAGUUUUGGUCACAAUCAACGUGCUGCCUUGAUUUUCUUUUAAAAUUUCCUGUGCCAGCAAUCAAGGUGGAUUCUUUACCAGCUGAGCUACCAAGGAAGCCCAAUCUUUCCUAUUCCCUACCAAAUGAAAGGAUAUUUGGCAUCUUCUGGAAGAGGAAUCAAGGGCAUGUCAAACAUGGGCCAACAAACAUUGUUGGUGCAAGUUCCUGUGCCCAACACAUGGUUUUCAUUGGUUCAACAUAAGUGGCUGCUCCAGACUUUGAACAUCUUCAGUGAAACCUUGUGAGAAGGUUUAACCUUUCUCUGGUCAAGUAUCAAAACUCCAAGUGAAUUGGAACACUUAGAACAUAACUAUUCUGACAGGAGGCACUAUUUUCAAGGUAUGAAAAUGAGUUUUGCAUGUAGUUUUGCAUUAUUGUUCCAGGACAUAUUAGAUUCAUAACACUGGAC